rnacentral:lncRNA from 1 species
ACUAUAUGUACAUAAUAGCAUGUUCUCCAUCAAUAUUCUUCAUUUAUAUAAGAGGGAUCAUCGUGUCAUUUAGCUGGCAGUAGCACCGGCGUCUUCUUUGCAUGUACUUUUACUUUUCCAGACUUCUUUCAUCAUUUCACAUGUAGAGCUAAAUCAAAUUGCUCCUAUGGAAGUCGUAACCCAAGUAGACAGUUUGAACCGAUUGCGACUACCAAUUUUCUUUACAAAUCCAGUAGAAGUUGCAGAUAUAACAGCUCAGAUAGCUCAGUAAAUGACACGCUGCAUAGCAAUCUUUGCGGAAGAACUAAAAGAACACAAAAAUAUUAUAAUCUCUAUCUAAUUCACAAAGGCACCACAAGAAGAUAGUGUGCAACAAUAUGUUAUGAAAACACAAACGAAAAACUAUUUGGUUUUUCAACUAUUGUUCAUCUGAUGAACAACUCAAAGUUUUAAUUAUUGAAAUCUACUGCCUAAUAUAUGCAAUGCUAGUGUCCGAGGUACCAAAUUAGUGAUUCUUAUUUGUUCAUUUCCUACACUUUUUAUGAAGAAAACGUGAAAUGCUGGAAACAUCUAAUUAUGGUUAAACGAAUGCAUUGUAAAUUGAUAUCCACAUGAUACAAAAAUAAUUGCAUCCAUGUGCUAGAGCUAAAACAAUAUUAUGCAAUAUGAAUGUGAGUUCUAUAGAAAUUAACUUCACAAAUCAGCAAACAUUAUGGGCCAUAUACCAUAAAAUAAUCUUGUGAGGGAUGGAGAUUGACCUCUAAUCUCCUUGCUUUGCUUCCUUCUUAGUUUUCAUAGUGCUUGGCCUUGUUGGUUGUGCGAAAGGUUGUUCUCACCUAUUGUCAUGAUUUUAUCUGCUGACCAGUCAUAACUGCACACUAAAAAACUAAACGACGUUCGGAGCAUGCAUCCAUGCCUAUUCUGAAAACAACAUUCAGCUGUCAAUCAUGAAUCAGACAUGCGCUUGCAGUCUUGAGACCAGUACAACUAUAUGUACAUAAUAGCAUGUUCUCCAUCAAUAUUCUUCAUUUAUACAAGAGGGACCAUUGUGUCAUUUAGCUGGCAGUAGCACCGGCGUCUUCUUUGCAUGUACUUUUACUUUUCCAGACUUCUUUCAUCAUUUCACAUGUAGAGCUAAAUCAAAUUGCUCCUAUGGAAGUCGUAACCCAAGUAGACAGUUUGAACCGAUUGCGACUACCAAUUUUCUUUACAAAUCCAGUAGAAGUUGCAGAUAUAAUAGCUCAGAUAGCUCAGUAAAUGACACGCUGCAUAGCAAUCUUUGCAGAAGAACUAAAAGAACGCAAAAAUAUUAUAAUCUCUAUCUAAUUCACAAAGACACCACAAGAAGAUAGUGUGCAAGCAUAUGUUAUGAAAACACAAACGAAAAACUAUUUGGUUUUUCAACUAUUGUUCAUCUGAUGAACAACUCAAAAGUUUUAAUUAUUGAAAUCUACUGCCUAAUAUAUGCAAUGCUAGUGUCCGAGGUACCAAAUUAGUGAUUCUUAUUUGUUCAUUUCCUCCACUUUUUAUGAAGAAAACGUGAAAUGCCGGAAACAUCUAAUUAUGGUUAAACGAAUGCAUUAUAAAUUGAUAUACACAUGAUACAAAAAUAAUUGCAUCCAUGUGCUAGAGCUAAAACAAUAUUAUGCAAUAUGAAUGUGAGUUCUAUAGAAAUUAACUUCACAAAUCAGCAAACAUUAUGGGCCAUAUACCAUAAAAUAAACGUGAAAUGCCGGAAACAUCUAAUUAUGGUUAAACGAAUGCAUUAUAAAUUGAUAUACACAUGAUACAAAAAUAAUUGCAUCCAUGUGCUAGAGCUAAAACAAUAUUAUGCAAUAUGAAUGUGAGUUCUAUAGAAAUUAACUUCACAAAUCAGCAAACAUUAUGGGCCAUAUACCAUAAAAUAAUCUUGUCAGG